GGGUCGCGGGGCUCGCCUCGGCACAGGGCGGGCGCGGCGCAGACGGGGCUUCGGAACCGCUUGCCUCUGUCUGCCUUCGCCUUUUUUAUCCUCAUUUCAAACACCUUUUCCCACAAUCCUUUAUUCAUUCUUUUCAUCAGAAUUACUCCUAUGAUUUUGAAAAUACACAAAAUCUUCGUUUUCAUUUGGCAUAGCAUCCAUCCUUGGUGCCUGGAGGUAGCAAACGCUGAUUUACAAGCCACAGAGCUUCUUGUCUUUUUUCCUGUUUUCUUUGCAGAACAGCACAAAACAGAGAAGUCUGGGCUUGUGCUCAAGAAUAUCAGGUCUGAUGCUGUAGCCGAAACUGCUCUUGCUGCUCACAGGAGAAAAAGAAAAAUGAAAAGUUCCAGUCCUUUGGAGGAGCAUACAGGUUCCCGAAUAACAGUGUUUUAAUCCUCGGAGUGCUGGAGAAACAAGGCCGAGGGACAGAGAAGUUGUUUUCAUCAGUAUUUAGAUGGUCUUUCUGUAAUUUAAUUUUUUUGUUUGUUUGUUUCCUGAUAAAGAGGUAUUUUUAGUUACAAGAAAGGGAAGGGAGGGAAACCUCUUCUGAUCAUUUUGUAGUGUAUAUCCCACCAUGAACUACGGCCAAUACCCAGUAGUGUGUCAGGAGAAUGAAGUAAGACUGCCCUACAAUCCUGAAUAUAUCAAUCACCAUUGUGGAAGCCACAAUUCACGGUGAGGAAAAGAGUUUCCUCUCACUUGUAUACAGUGACACUGAAAGUAUUUCAUCAACAUUUAUUACAGGGCAUUUUUCAUGCCCUAGUAAAUCAGUGUGAGAAAGAAAGCUUUGAGAAUCCCUUUCAGUAAGCACAAAGGGAAACAAUGGAAGCCUAUGAUUGUUGAAAGGAAAAAGUGGCAAUUAUUCUAAGUUUACUGAACAUUAGGACCUCUAUGCUCAACAUCGGCUUUAAAAGAAGGCAUUAAAACACAGGACGACAAUCAUUUAUUACUGUCUACGGUGUUCUUUUCUGGACUAGGAGCUAGGCUUGAUGUUCAUUUUGGGUAAGCAAUCUGGAUAAAGUUGAACUGGUCUGAAGUUAAAGUGGGGUUUUGAUGCAGAACCUGAACUUACCUUAGUCUCACAUCAUUUGAGAUAACUCUAGCUCUGGAUAGCAUAUGUAUUGAAGUACCCACAGUGUGGAAGGCAGUCGGUUUUAUUCUCUUCUUUUAAUUUCGUUUUUAUUAAGUACCAUAGUUCUGUGAACUUUUGUCUAAUUGACAUAAGAUUCCUGUCGAUGGGCUCAUUUUUCCCAGUUAUUUUUUUAAUGAAAUGACAGUUAGAAUCUCUCUGUAUUCCUGUGCUAAUAAAGUGAUGAUCUUAAUUUCCA
rnacentral:lncRNA from 1 species